rnacentral:rRNA from 1 species
AACGAACGCUGGCGGCAUGCCUAACACAUGCAAGUCGAACGCAUGUAGCAAUACAUGAGUGGCGAACGGGUGAGUAACGCGUGGGAACCUGCCUAGUGGUAGGGAAUAACCGCGGGAAACUGCGGCUAAUACCCUAUGAGCCCUCCGGGGAAAGAUUUAUCGCCAUUAGAGGGGCCCGCGUCGGAUUAGCUAGUUGGUGGGGUAACGGCCCACCAAGGCGACGAUCCGUAGCUGGUCNGAGAGGAUGAUCAGCCACACUGGGACUGAGAUACGGCCCAGACUCCUACGGGAGGCAGCAGUGGGGAAUAUUGGACAAUGGGGCGAACCCUGAUCCAGCAAUGCCGCGUGAGUGAAGAAGGCCUUAGGGUUGUAAAGCUCUUUCGGCGGGGAAGAUGAUGACGGUACCCGCAGAAGAACG